UAAGGGUGUGAAAACCUCUCCCUAGCAUGCACAUUCUAAAAACCUUGAGGGGAAAUUCGAAAGGGAAAGCCCAAAGAAGACACUAUCUGCUAGCCGUGGGCUUGAGAUGUAUAUCGUAAAAUUGUU